rnacentral:rRNA from 1 species
ACGGGGGGAGCAAGCGUUGUUCGGAAUCACUGGGCGUAAAGGGCGUGUAGGCGGUUGGGUAAGUGAGAUGUGAAAUCCCUCGGCUCACCCGAGGACCUGCAUCUCAUACUGCCCGACUCGAGUAUGGGAGAGGAUGAGGGAAUUCCUGGUGUAGCGGUGAAAUGCGUAGAUAUCAGGAGGAACACCGGUGGCGAAAGCGCUCAUCUGGCCCAAUAUUGACGCUGAGGCGCGAAAGCUAGGGGAGCAAACGGGA